GACGAACGCUGGCGGCGUGCUUAACACAUGCAAGUCGAACGGAAAGGCCCUGCUUUUGUGGGGUGCUCGAGUGGCGAACGGGUGAGUAACACGUGAGUAACCUGCCCUUGACUUUGGGAUAACUUCAGGAAACUGGGGCUAAUACCGGAUAGGAGCUCCUGCUGCAUGGUGGGGGUUGGAAAGUUUCGGCGGUUGUGGAUGGACUCGCGGCUUAUCAGCUUGUUGGUGGGGUAGUGGCUUACCAAGGCUUUGACGGGUAGCCGGCCUGAGAGGGUGACCGGCCACAUUGGGACUGAGAUACGGCCCAGACUCCUACGGGAGGCAGCAGUGGGGAAUAUUGCACAAUGGGCGGAAGCCUGAUGCAGCAACGCCGCGUGCGGGAUGACGGCCUUCGGGUUGUAAACCGCUUUCGCCUGUGACGAAGCGUGAGUGGCGGUAAUGGGUAAAGAAGCACCGGCUAACUACGUG
rnacentral:rRNA from 1 species